rnacentral:piRNA from 1 species
UCCAUGUGCAGCACAAAGGGAAUGUG